GAGGGUGCAGCUCAGUGGUAGAGCACGUGCUUAGCAUGCACGCAGCCCUGGGUUCCAUCCCAGUAACUUUA
rnacentral:tRNA from 1 species